rnacentral:rRNA from 1 species
UGCAGUCGAGCGGUAGCACAGGGAGCUUGCUCCUGGGUGACGAGCGGCGGACGGGUGAGUAAUGUCUGGGAAACUGCCUGAUGGAGGGGGAUAACUACUGGAAACGGUAGCUAAUACCGCAUAACGUCUACGGACCAAAGUGGGGGACCUUCGGGCCUCAUGCCAUCAGAUGUGCCCAGAUGGGAUUAGCUAGUAGGUGGGGUAAUGGCUCACCUAGGCGACGAUCCCUAGCUGGUCUGAGAGGAUGACCAGCCACACUGGAACUGAGACACGGUCCAGACUCCUACGGGAGGCAGCAGUGGGGAAUAUUGCACAAUGGGCGCAAGCCUGAUGCAGCCAUGCCGCGUGUGUGAAGAAGGCCUUCGGGUUGUAAAGCACUUUCAGCGAGGAGGAAGGGUUCAGUGUUAAUAGCACUGUNCAUUGACGUUACUCGCAGAAGAAGCACCGGCUAACUCCGUGCCAGCAGCCGCGGUAAUACGGAGGGUGCAAGCGUUAAUCGGAAUUACUGGGCGUAAAGCGCACGCAGGCGGUUUGUUAAGUCAGAUGUGAAAUCCCCGCGCUUAACGUGGGAACUGCAUUUGAAACUGGCAAGCUAGAGUCUUGUAGAGGGGGGUAGAAUUCCAGGUGUAGCGGUGAAAUGCGUAGAGAUCUGGAGGAAUACCGGUGGCGA